GAUGAACGCUGGCGGCGUGCCUAACACAUGCAAGUCGAGCGAAGCACUUACUUUAGAUUUCUUCGGAAUGACGAAGUUUGUGACUGAGCGGCGGACGGGUGAGUAACGCGUGGGCAACCUGCCCUGUACAGGGGGAUAACAGUUAGAAAUGACUGCUAAUACCGCAUAAGCCCACAGCUUCGCAUGAAGCAGUGGGGAAAACUCCGGUGGUACAGGAUGGGCCCGCGUCUGUUUAGCUAGUUGGUAAGGUAACGGCAUACCAAGGCGACGAUCAGUAGCCGACCUGAGAGGGUGACCGGCUACAUUGGGACUGAGACACGGCCCCAAAUCCUACGGGAGGCAGCAGUGGGGAAUAUUGCACAAUGGGGGAAACCCUGAUGCAGCGACGCCGCGUGAGCGAUGAAGUAUUUCGGUAUGUAAAGCUCUAUCAGCAGGGAAGAAAGUGACGGUACCUGACGAAGAAGCCCCGGCUAACUACGUG
rnacentral:rRNA from 1 species